ACGUUUUUACUAAUUUGACAAUGAAUGUAAUUAAUUGGUAUUAACUUCUAAUGGUAUGUUACUAUACAUAGGUGUAGUACAAUCCAAAAACGCACCAAAACUUUAAUUAAAGAUACUUCUUUUAUAACGUCUUACAGUUACUUUAUAUUAUUUAAAAUUUUGGCUAUAUAUAACCACAGAGAUAGAUAAUUCAUGUUGUGAGUAGUAAAAUAAUCAUUAUCAAUUUUAUAUUUCUUAAAUUUUAACUUUAGGAUGGCAUCAUCGAAACUUUACUUUGUUGCUCUUUUAAUCAUUGCUUCAGUUUUCAUUGAUGUUCAAUCCACUCUGGUGGCUAAUUCAGGAAUUAUGGAUGCUUGGUCGGAUUGUGAUUUCAGAGGACCUUGUAAGAAGAAAGAAGAUUGUUAUGAUAGAUGUGAAGUGGACAGACCACCUUUUAAUAAUGCUAUAUGUGUACCUUUCGGACGCAGUCGUCAAUGUUGUUGUAUUUUAUCGUGAGAUUUUGAGAAUUUUCUUCAAGUUAAUUCAUGUCAAAAAACUUCAAAUAAAAUAAUAUAUGUCAAGUUAUUCACUAUAAAA